GACGAACGCUGGCGGUGUGCUUAACACAUGCAAGUCGAACGGUAAGGCCCUUUCGUUGGUACACGAGUGGCGAACGGGUGGGUAACACGUGAGUAACCUGCCCUCAUCUCUGGGAUAACAGACGUCAACGGUUGCUAAUUCUGGCUAUGAACUUGCAAGGCAUCUUGUGGGUUGGAAGGAUUUUUUUGGUUGGGGAUGGACUCGCGGCCUAUCAGCUUGUUGUUGGGGUGGUGGGUCAUCAAGGCUUCGACGGGUAGUCGGCCGGGUAGGGCGACCGGCCACAUUGGGACUGAGAUACGGGCCAAACUCCUACGGGAGGCAGGAGUGGGGAAUAUUGCACAAUGGACGGGAGUCUGAUGCAGCAACGCCGCGUGCGGGAUGACGGCCUUCGGGUUGUAAACCGCUUUCAGUUUUGACGAAGCUUUUUGUGGCGGUAGCAGUAGAAGAAGCACCGGCUAACUACGUG
rnacentral:rRNA from 1 species